rnacentral:rRNA from 1 species
UACGGAGGGUGCAAGCGUUAUCCGGAUUCACUGGGUUUAAAGGGUGCGUAGGCGGCUUGCCAAGUCAGUGGUGAAAGCCCGCGGCUUAACCGCGGAAUUGCCAUUGAAACUGGCUGGCUCGAGUAUAAUUGAAGUGGGCGGAAUACAUCAUGUAGCGGUGAAAUGCUUAGAUAUGAUGUAGAACACCAAUUGCGAAGGCAGCUCACUAAGUUAUAACUGACGCUGAGGCACGAAAGCGUGGGGAGCAAACAGG